CUCACAAAUUCUUACCCUGACAGAGAAUGUGUGAUUUUGAGGUUGCUUUCACAUACACCUGCUAGUGUCCACUAGGUCCCCAGUUCCCACCGCGAGGCUGGGUUUCGCGUUCUCAUCCCAGGCUGCCUCCCCCAUUGCCUGCCUCUGCGGCAAAUCGCCGGUUUUGCCGCAAUGCUAAGUCCCAACUUGGCCAACAGGGGGCGCCCGAACCUCCCCUCCUGGAAGGGCGGGCUUCCAGGCCCAAUUCCUCAGGUUGCGCGCUCACCUCCGUAUGGUAGCUUGGGAAAGUCAGGUCUCUGAGGCCACUGAAGCUGAAAGUGGGGACUUCGCUUUUGGGCGACAAGUAGACACUCAGCCUCCGCGGGGUGGCGGAUGGGGAGGGAACGGGGACUCGGCGGCUGGCAGCCUGGGUCGGCGCUAUGGCGACAAAUCGGGAUUCAUUCCCCUGAGCUUGAGGUGGGGACUUAGUCUCUCGGGGAUGGGUGGGGACGCGGCCCCCGGUGGCGUAGACUGUCAAUUAGUCUCGGAGUGGAGGGAGUGUUAGACCUAGGAUCAAAAAUACCAGAUUCCUUUUCUGGGGUGAAAACUGAGGAUUGGCCUCUGGAGGAAACCGCAGGGCUGAGCCCCUCGGGGAGAGGCGGGGACUAAGCCUCAGGAGCAGGAACCCUCUGGAGAAGGGCCUCCACUUUCCAACUGAGAGCCGGGACCUUGGCCUCUGGGCCCCGCGGAAGAUCGGGGGCCAGCGGGAAGGUGGCUUACGCCUGUGAUCCCAGGACUUUGGGAGGCAGAGGCAUGAGUAUCAGUUGAGAUUCAGUGUUGGCUCUCUAAGAGGCCGACAUGGUAGAAAGCUCUGGCCUGAGGGGUCGUAUACAUGGCCAAGGCCAAGACAAGAAACCCUAUGAAAACAAGAGAACCGAGUGAAAAUUCGCCUCCUGAAGAGCAGAACUCCAAGCUGCCUUCUCUUCCUCAACUCCCAAAACACUAUUCUCUGGGAAAAUGGGAAGAUUUUUCUCUGGGAAUUCUGCCCUGCCCAGAAGAAAAGGCCCAUAAACACUGGGAGUGGGUGUCUUAUCCUUGCCUCAUCACCCUACAGCAGUGGGUCUUAAACUUGAGGGACACCGUCCCACCUCCGAUCCGGUCUUCUCUUGGUACAUUUAACAGAGCCUGGAGAUGCUGUGGGUUGCCUCACCUGGUAGGAGGUGGGUGUUACAGGUAUCUAUCACACAGAGGCCAACGAUGCUGCUAAACAUCUUACAACUCAAAAGACAGUUUCACACAAUGAAGAAUUCUCUGGUCCAAAAUGUCACUAAUGCUGAGGUUGAGAAACACUGUCCUAAAGUGAGGCCCACCCAUCAGCAAGGCCUACCCACAUGCAGAAUUCUUCCACAUAGCCUUUCAGCACCUCACAAUGAAAUAUAAGCAGAUAGCCAAGCGCCCCCAAAGAAUAAAACAAAGAUCAGAAGAGUGACGACUUAAAGGAUUUUGCCAAAGUGACCGAUCAAUGUUGUCCCUGACACAUGCAUCUCAGUGGUGAAGUCUCCCUGCAUCCAUUCCUACUCCCUUUGCCAAGGUCAAAGCCCACUGAGCAGCCAUCCAACCACAGGACUACAACAGGGGGACUCUCCGGCUCAGUGGAGGUCUUCUCCACUCCAAACCGUAUGCAUGAAUACUCUGACAUUCUAGGAUAUCAGAUGAGCUGAGUCUUGCUAGGGAGAGUGAGCUCUAGAAACAAAGUAGUAGGUAGAAUUCAAAACAUCCAAGGAGAGGGGUUAGGGAGGUGUUUCCUAUGGCAGAAGUGGCUGAGAAACUUAAAGCAAUUAAGUUGUCUCUGCCGGGGACUUGCCUGCCCUGCACUCUGCUACCGCUACACCAGCUUAUCUCCAAAGGGUUGGUGAUGAGCGAUUGCACAUCAUAGCCUGGCUUUGUGCUGCUCUGUGGAAUAGAGAAGAAGCCCUAGAGCCCAAUAGGGUAGAGAGAACACAGAAGAGGCUGGAGGUGGAGCAGCUGACAAGGUGAGGGCCACAUCUCUACCACUAUGUGGCCAUAGGGCAUACCUUCAUGAGGCAGUGAAGUAAGGAGCUUCGUAGCAGGUGCAUCAUGGAGCAGAAGAAAGGGGCAGGCUCGUUCAUGCCCUGGCAAAAGUGGGGCCCAGACUCACUGAGGCUGGGAACAAAGUGAUGGUGAGCAGGAAUCUCACAGGGGUCUCUCCUAACUCUUCAGGGCUUUGGGUGUUCUGGUUAUGGCUGUAUUAUCUCACUCAGUCCCCAAAGGGCUCUUGCAGUUGUAGCAGAAUUAACUCCACCCGGCAGGUGGAAAAAAAAGGAGGCAGAGAAAGCUUCAGUAACUUGCUUAUGGUAGUGUGGGAUGAAGAGGGGCUUGUCACCUGUCUGAUUCCAGCUGACACUAAAAAAUGAAGUUUGACUUUGUUUAACA